UACGGAGGGGGCUAGCGUUGUUCGGAAUUACUGGGCGUAAAGCGCGCGUAGGCGGCUUUGUAAGUCAGACGUGAAAUCCCUCGGCUUAACCGAGGAACUGCGUCCGAUACUGAAAGGCUUGAAUCCGGGAGAGGGAUGUGGAAUUCCAGGUGUAGCGGUGAAAUGCGUAGAUAUCUGGAGGAACACCGGUGGCGAAGGCGGCAUCCUGGACCGGCAUUGACGCUGAGGCGCGAAAGCUAGGGGAGCAAACGGG
rnacentral:rRNA from 1 species